AGAGUUUGAUCAUGGCUCAGAACGUACGCUGGCGGCACGCCUAACACAUGCAAGUCGAACGAAGUAGCAAUACUUAGUGGCAGACGGGUGAGUAACAUGUAGGUAUCUGCCCUUUGGCCUGGAAUAACACGAGGAAACUUGUGCUAAUACCGGAUAAGUCUUUACGGAGAAAGCUUUAUGCACCAUUGGAUGAGCCUGCACUUGAUUAGUUUGUUGGUGGGGUAAUGGCCUACCAAGACUGUGAUCAAUAGCUGAUUUGAGAGGAUGAUCAGCCACAUUGGGACUGAGACACGGCCCAAACUCCUACGGGAGGCAGCAGUGGGGAAUCUUGCACAAUGGAGGAAACUCUGAUGCAGCGAUGCCGCGUGAGUGAAGAAGGCCUUUGGGUUGUAAAGCUCUUUCGUCGGGGAAGAAAAUGACUGUACCCGAAUAAGAAGGUCCGGCUAACUUCGUGCCAGCAGCCGCGGUAAUACGAAGGGACCUAGCGUAGUUCGGAAUUACUGGGCUUAAAGAGUUCGUAGGUGGUUGAAAAAGUUGGUGGUGAAAUCCCAGAGCUUAACUCUGGAACUGCCAUCAAAACUUUUCAGCUAGAGUAUGAUAGAGGAAAGCAGAAUUUCUAGUGUAGAGGUGAAAUUCGUAGAUAUUAGAAAGAAUACCAAUUGCGAAGGCAGCUUUCUGGAUCAUUACUGACACUGAGGAACGAAAGCAUGGGUAGCGAAGAGGAUUAGAUACCCUCGUAGUCCAUGCCGUAAACGAUGUGUGUUAGACGUUGGAAAUUUAUUUUCAGUGUCGCAGCGAAAGCGAUAAACACACCGCCUGGGGAGUACGACCGCAAGGUUAAAACUCAAAUGAAUUGACGGGGACCCGCACAAGUAGUGGAGCAUGUGGUU
rnacentral:rRNA from 1 species